ensembl:lncRNA
GACAGGAAAUGACAGCGCAUCGGCCUCCCCUCGCAGAGGGAGCGAGCCUCCGAGAGGGGAGAAGUCCUUCCUAAUCACAGAGCAGUGCCAGAGCGCAGUAGGAAUGGUGGCUGCUACAUGCAGUUUUAGAUCAAUCUACUAUAGUCAUGCUGCCCUGAGACCCAGAUAAUUCCUCUGUGAACUCUGGACACUCCGAAGUAACUUCUAAUCCAGAGAUGAGGCCCAUGCCUGGAGCUGAGGCCAGAUGUGGAAGGCUCACAGGAUCCACAAGGGAGCUACUUGUGCAGGGCUCACUCUCGACUCCUUCCCACGGCUCCACAAACCAACGUGUCCAACUCAGCUUUCCAGGGCUUCAUUACAAGGCGGAUUCUUCACUGCUGAGCCACCAGGGAAGCCCCACGUCAGGUCUGGGAGAAGGGAAAAGAGCAAGAAAGACUUGGUGCAGCUGCAGCAGGAGAGAGAAGGAGGCAGGGAACUGUUUACUAGGGGAAGAAAGAGAACCAGGAGAGACUCAGGAUGCUCAGCUGGUGGAAAGGAGAAACCGAUCCUGGAUCCCGGGGACAGGCAAACCGUGAAAGUAUUCCUGGGCAGCUCCCUGUCUUCCUUCUACCAUCACUUGCCACAGAU